GGAAGUAAAAUCGUAACAAGGUUUCCGUAGGUGAACCUGCGGAAGGAUCAUUAUUGUAUAACCGAGGUGCGAGGGCUGUCGCUGACCCGAAAGGUCGUGCACGCCCGAGUGCCCUCACACACAUCCAUCUCACCCCUAUGUGCACCACCGCGUGGGUCCCCCUUUGGCUUGUUCGGAGGGGGGCUUACGUUUUCACACAAACUUUGUAUGCAGUGUAGAAUGUAUUUUUUGUUUUCGCGAUCACGCAAUCAAUACAACUUUCAACAACGGAUCUCUUGGCUCUC
rnacentral:misc_RNA from 1 species